rnacentral:tRNA from 1 species
GGUGGCUCAGUGGUAGAGUUCUUGCCUUGCAUGCAAGAGGCCCUGGGUUUAAUUCCUGGGCACCA